GACUGUUCUCUCUACUACUGCAUGGCAAGCGAUACCGGAGUGCCAAGUCUAGGACAAAAAGGCUUCUCAAUAGUUUUUACCCCCAAGCCAUAAGACUCCUGAUCAGGUAAUCAAAUGGCUACCCACACUAUUUGCAUUGUGUGCCCCCAACCCCUCUUUUACGCUGCUGCUACUCUCUGUUUAUCAUAUAUGCAUUGUCACUUUAACUAUACAUUCAUGUACAUACUACCUCAAUUAGCCCGACUAACCGGUGCCCCCACACAUUGGCUACCUGGACAAUCUGCAUUGUGUCCCGCUACCCACCACCCGCCAACCCCUCUUUUACCCUACUUCUACUCUCUGUUUAUCAUAUAUGCAUAGUCACUUUAACCAUACCUACAUGUACAUACUACCUCAAUCAGCCUGACUAACCGGUGCCUGUAUAUAGCCUCGCUACUGUUAUAGCCUCGCUACUGUUAUUUUUCACUGUCUUUUUACUGUUGUUUUUAUUUCUUUACUUAUCUAUUGUUCACCUAAUACCUUUUUUUAACUUAAAAAUUGCACUGUUGGUUAGAGCCUGUAAGUAAGCAUUUCACUGUAAGGUCUACACCUGCUAUAUUCAGCGCACGUGACAAAUAAACUUUGAUUUGAUUUGAUUUAGUAGUUCUAGUGUAGAGAGAGGAGAAAGGCUGGGUAGUUUGUGUGUAGAGAGAGGAGAAAGGCUGGGUAGGUUGUGUGUAGAGAGAGGAGAAAGGCUGGGUAGUUAUAUUGUAGAGCGAGGAGGCAGGCUGGGUAGUUCUAUUGUAGAGAGAGGAGAAAGGCUGGGUAGUUAUAUUGUAGAGCGAGGAGGCAGGCUGGGUAGUUCUAUUGUAGAGAGAGGAGAAAGGCUGGGUAAUUCUAGUAUAGAGAGAGGAGGUUGGGUAGUUCUAGUGUAGAGAGACAAGGCAGGCUGGGUAGUUAUAUUGCAGAGAGAGGAGAACGGCUGUGUAGUUCUAGUGUAGAGAGAGGAUAAAGGCUGGGUAAUUCUAGUGUAGAGAGAGGAGGCAGGCUGGGUAGUUCUAUUGCAGAGAGAGGAGAACGGCUGGGUAGUUCUAGUAUAGAGAGAUGAGGCGAAAGGCUGGUUAGUUCUAGAGUAUAGAAAGCAGGCAGGCUGGGUAGUUAUGGUGUAGAGAGCGGAGAAAGGCUGGGUAGUUAUAGUGCAGAGAGAGGAGGCAUGCUGGGUUGUUCUAUUGCAGAGAGAGGAGAAAGUCUGGGUAGUUCUAGUGUAGAGAGAGGAGGCUGGGUGUUUAUAGAUUAGAGAGUCGAGUCUGGGUAGUUCUAGUAUAGAGAGAGGAGUCUGUGUAGUUAUAGUGUAGAGAGAGGAGAUGGGGAAUUAUAGUGUAGAGAAGGCUGGGUAUUUGUGGUGUACAGUGAGGAGGCUGGGCAGUUAUAGUGUAAAGGAGGCUGGGUAGUUAUAGUGUAGAGAGAGGAGGCUGGGUAAUUAUAGUGUAAAAGAGGCCGGGUAGUUGUGGUGUAGAGAGAGGAGGGUGUGUAGUUAUAGUGUAGAGAGAGGAGGCUGGGUAGUUAUAGUGUAAAGGAGGCUGGGUAGUUGUAGUGUAGAGAGAGGAGGCUGGGUAGUUAUAGUGUAGAAGAGGCUGCAUAGUUAUAGUGUAGAGAGAGGAGGCUGGAUAGCUAUAGUGUAGAUGAGGCUGGGUAGUUAUAUUGUAGAGAGAGGAGACUGGGUAGUAAUUGUGUGGAGUGAGGAGGCUGGGUAGUUCUAUUGUAGAGAUAGGAGAAAGACUGGGUAGUUUUAGUGUAGAGAGAGGAGGUUGUGGAGUUCUAGCGUAGAGAGAGAAGGCUGUGUAGUUCUAUUGUAGAGAUAGGAGAAAGGCUGGGUAGUUUUAGUGUAGAGAGAGGAGGCUGGGUAGAUCUAGUGUAGAGAGAGGAGGCUGGGUAGUUCUAGUGUAGAGAGAGGAGGCUGUGGAGUUCUAUUGUAGAGGGAGGAGGCUGAGUUGUUCUAGUGUAGAGAGAGGAGGCUGGGUAGUUGUAGUGAAGAGAGAGGAGACUGGGUAGUUGUAGUGAAGAGAGAGGAGGCUGGGUAGUUGUAUUAUAGCGAGGAGAAGCUGGGUAGUAUAAGUAUAGAGAGAGGAUACUGGGUAGUUACAAUAUAGGGAGAGGAGGCUGGGUAAUUGUAGUGUAGAAAGAUUAGGCAGGUAGUUCUAUUGUAUAGAGAGCAGGGUUGCUGGGAAGAUCCAGUGUAGAGAGAGGAGAAAGCCUGGGUAGUUCAGUGUAGAGAGAGGAGGCAUGCUGGGUAGUUCUGUUGCAGAGAGACGAGAAAGGCUGGGACGUUCUAGUGUAGAGAGAGGAGGCUGGGUAAUUCUAGUGUAGAGAGAUGAGGCUGGGUAGUUAUAGUAUAGAGAGAGGAGGAUGGGUAGUUCUAGUGUAGAGAGAGGAGGAUGGGUAGUUCUAGUAUAGAGAGAGGAGGCUGGGUAGUUCUAUUAUAGAAAUUGAAGGCUGGGUAGUUAUAGUAUAGAGAGGGGAGGCUGGGUAGUUCUAGUACAGAGAGAGGGGAAAGGCUGGGUAGUUCUAGUGCAGAGAGAGGAGAAAGGCUGUGUAGUUCUAGUGUAGAGAGAGGAGGCUGGGUAGCUCUAGUGUAGAGAGAUGAAAAUAGCUGGGUUGUUCUAUUGUAGAGAGUGAAGAAAGGCUGGGUAGUUCUAGUGUAGAGAGAAGAGGCUGGGUAGUUUUAGUGUAGAGAGAGGAGGCUGGGUAGUCCUAGUGUAGAGAGAUUUAAAAGGCUGGGUUUGCAUAGUGUAGAGAGAGGAGGCUGUGUAGUUCUCGUGUACAGAAAGGAGGCAGGCUGGGUAUUUCUGGUGUAGAGAGAGGAGAAAGCCUGGGUAGUUCUAGUGUAGAGAGAGGAGAAAGGCUGGGUAGUUCUAGCAUAGAGAGAGGAGGAUGGAUAAUUCUAGUAUAGAAAGAGGAGAAAGGCUGGGUAGUUCUAGCAUAGAGAGAGGAGGAUGGGUAAUUCUAGUAUAGAAAGAGGAGAAGGCUGGGUAAUUCUAGUGUGGAGAGAGGAGGCUGGGUAGUUAUAGUGUAGCGAGAGGAGGCAGGCUGGGUAGUUCUAUUGUAGAGAGAGGAGAAUAGCUGGGUAGUUCUAGUGUAGAGAGAGUUGAAAGGCUGGGUUGGUAUAGUGUAGAGAGAGGAGGCUAGGUAGUUGUAGUAUAAAGGAGGCUGGGAAGUUCUAGUGUAGAGAGAGGAGGCUGGGUAGAUCUAGUGUAGAGAUAGGAGGCUGGGUAGUUCUAGAGUGGGGAGAGGAGGCUGGGUAGUUCUAGUGUAGAGAAAGUAGAAAGGCUGGAUAGUUCUAGUAUAGAGAGAGGAGAAAGCCUGGGUAGUUCCAGUGUAGAGAGAGGAGAAAGACUGGGUAGGUCUAGUGUAGAGAGAGGAGGAUGGGUAAUUCUAGAAUAGAAAGAGGAGAAGGCUGGGUAGUUAUAGUGUAGCGAGAGGAGGAUGGGUAAUUCUAGUUUAGAGAGAGGAGGCUGGGUAGUUCUAGUGUAGAGAGAGGAGGCUGGGUAGUUCUAGAGUGGGGAGAGGAGGCUGGGUAGUUCGAGUGUAGAGAGAGGAGAAAGGCUGGGUAGUUCUAGUGUAGAAAGAGGAGGCUGGGUAGUUCUAGUGUAGAAAGAGGAGGCUGGGUAGUUAUAGUGUAGAGAGAGGAGGAAGGCUGUGUUGUUCUAGUGUAGAGAGAGUUGAAAGGCUGGGUAGGUAUAGUGUAGAGAGAGGAGGCUAGGUAGUUGUAGUUUAGAGAGAGGAGGCUGUGUAGUUGUAGUGUAGAGGAGGCUGGGAAGUUCUAGUGUAGAGAGAGAAGGCUGGGUUGAUCUAGUGUAAAGAGAGGAGGCUGGAUAGUUCUAGAGUGAGGAGAGGAGUCUGGGUAGUUCUAGUGUAGAGAGAGGAGGCUGGGUAGUUGUAGUGUAGAGAGAGGAGGCUGGAUAGUUCUAGUGUAGAAAGAGGAGGCUGGGUAGUUCAAGUGUAGAGAUAGGAGGCUGGGUAGUUCUAGAGUGGGGAGAGGAGGCUGGGUAGUUCUAGUGUAGAGGGAGGAGAAAGGCUGGGUAGUUCUAGUGUAGAAAGAGGAGGCUGGGUAGUUCUAGUGUAGAGAGAGGAGAAAGGCUGGGUAGUUCUAGUGUAGCGAGAGGAGGCUGGGUAAUUCUAGUUUAGAAAGAGGAGAAGGCUGGGUAGUUAUAAUAUAGCGAGAGGAGGAAGGCUGGGUAGUUGUAUUGUAGAGAGAGGAGAAAGGCUGGGUUGUUCUAGUGUGGAGAGAGUUGAAAGGCUGGGUAGGUAUAGUGUAGAGAGAGGAGGCUAGGUAGUUCUAGAGUGGGGAGAGAAGGCUGGGUAGUUCUAGUGUAGAAAGAGGAGGCUGGGUAGUUCUAGUGUAGAAAGAGCAGGCUGGGUAGUUCUAGUGUAGAGGGAGGAGAAUGUCUGGGUAGUUCUAGUGUAGAGAGAGGAGAAAGGCUGGGUAGUUCUAGUGUAGAAAGAGGAGGCUGGGUAGUUCUAGUGUAGAAAGAGGAGGCUGGGUAGUUCUAGUGUAGAAAGGGGAGGCUGGGUAGUUCUAGUGUAGAGGGAGGAGAAUGUCUGGCUAGUUCUAGUGUAGAAAGAGGAGGCUGGGUAGUUCUAGUGUAGAGAGAGGAGGAUGGGUAGUUCUAAUAUAGCAUGAGGAGGAAGGCUGGGUAGUUCUAUUGUAGAGAGAGGAGAAAGGCUGGGUUGUUCUAGUGUGGAGAGAGUUGAAAGAGUGGGUAGGUAUAAUGUAGAGAGAGGAGGCUAGGUAGUUGUAAUUUAGAGAGAGGAGGCUGUGUAGUUGUAGUGUAGUGGAGGCUGGGAAGUUCUAGUGUAGAGAGAGGAGGCUGGGUAGAUCUAGUGUAGAGAGAGGAGGCUGGGUAGUUCUAGAGUGGGGAGAGGAGGCUGGGUAGUUCUAGUGUAGAGAGAGGAGAAAGGCUGGAUAGUUCUAGUAUAGAGAGAGGAGAAAGCCUGUGUUGUUCUAGUGUAGAGAGAGGAGGAUGGGUAAUUCUAGAAUAGAAAGAGGAGAAGGCUGGGUCGUUUUUGUGUAGCGAGAGGAGGCAGGCUGGGUAGUUCUAGUGUAGAGAGAGGAGGCUGGGUAGUUCUAGUGUAGAGAGAGGAGGCUGGGUAGUUCUAGAGUGGGGAGAGGAGGCUGGGUAGUUCUAGUGUAGAGAGAGGAGAAAGGCUGGGUUGUUCUAGUGUAGAAAGAGGAGGCUGGGUAGUUCUAGUGUAGAGAGAGGAGAGAGGCUGGGUAGUUCUAGUGUAGAGAGAGGAGGAUUGGUAAUUGUAGUUUAGAAAGAGGAGAAGGCUGGGUAGUUAUAAUGUAGCAAGAGGAGGAAGGCUGGGUAGUUCUAUUGUAGAGAGAGGGGUCUGGGUAGUUGUAGUUUAGAGAGAGGAGGAUGUGUAGUUGUAGUGUAGAGGAGGCUGGGAAGUUCUAGUGUAGAGAGAGGAGGCUGGGUAGGUUAGUGUAGAGAUCGAAGGCUGGGUUGAUCUAGUGUAGAGCGAGGAGGCUGUAUAGUUCUAGAGUGGGGAGAGGUGGCUGGGUAGUUCUAGUGUAGAGAGAGGAGAAAGGCUGGAUAGUUCUGGUAUAGAGAGAUGAGGACUAAGACUGGGUAAUUAUAGUGUAGAGGAGGCUGAGUUGUUAUAGUGUAUAGGAUGCUGGGUAUUUUAGGUGUACAGUGAGGAGGCUGGGUAGUUAUAGUGUAAAGGAGGCUGGGUAGUUGUAGUGUAGAGAGAGAAGGCUGGGUAGUUGUAGUGUAGAGGAGGCUGGGUAUUUGAGGUGUACAGUGAGGAGGCUGGGAAGUUAUAGUGUAAAGGAGGCUGGGAAGUUAUAGUGUAAAGGAAGGGGGUAGUUGUAUUGUAGAGAGAGGAGGCUGGGUAGUUGUAGUGUAGAGGAGGCUGGGUAGUUCUAGUGCAGAGAUUGGAGGCCGGGUAGUUACUGUAUAGAGAGAGGAGGCUGGGUAGUCUUAUUAUAGUGAGGAGCAGCUGGGUAGUUUAAGCAUAAAGAGAGGAGGCAGGGUAGUUGCAAAAUAAGGUGAGGAGGCUUGGUAGUUCUAGUGUAGAGAGAUGAGUAAGGCUGGGUAGUUCUAUUGUAUAGAGACCAGGGAGGCUGGGAAGUUCUAGUGAAGAGAGAGGAGGCUGGGUAGUUCUAUUGUAGAAAGAGAAGGCUGGGUUGUUCUAGUGUAGAGAGAGGAGGCUGGGUAGGUUAGUGUAGAGAGAAGAGGCUGGGUAGUUCUAGUGUAGAGGGAGGAGGCUGGGUAGUUCUAUUGUAGAAAGAGAAGGCUGGGUUGUUCUAGUGUAGAGAGAGGAGGCUGGGUAGUUCUAGUGUAGAGAGGAGGCUGGUAGUUCUACUGUAGAAGGAGAAGGCUGGGUAGUUUUAGUAUAGAGAGAUGAGGAUGGGUAGUUCUAAUGUAGAGAGAGGAGAAAGACUGGGUAAUUCUAGUGUGGAGAGAGGAGAAAGGCUGGGUAGUUCUAGUAUAGAGAGAGGAGGCUGGGUAGUUCUAAUUUAGAGAGAGGAGAAAGGCUGGGUAGUUCUAUUGUAGAGAGAGGAGGCAGGCUGGGUAGUUCUAGUAUAGAGAGAGGAGGCUGGGUAGUUCUAGUAUAGAGAGAUGAGUAGUAAGACUGGGUAGUUCUAGUAUAGAGAGAGGAGGAGGCUGGGAAGUUCUAGUAUAGAGAGAGGAGAAAGGCUGGGUAGUUCUAGUGUAGAGAGAGGAGGCUGGGUAGUUCUAGUGUAGAGAGAAGAGAAAGGCUGGGUAGUUCUAGUGUAGAGAGAGGAGGCAGGCUUGGUAGUUCUAGUAUAGAGAGAUGAGUAGUAAGACUGGGUAGUUCUAGAAUAGAGAGAGGAGGAGGCUGGGAAGUGCUAGUAUAGAGAGAGGAGAAAGGCUGGGUAGUUCUAGUGUAGAAAGAGGAGGCUGGGUAGUUCUAGUGUAGAGAGAGGAGUAGUAAGACUGGGUAGUUCUAGUGUAGAGAGAGGAGGCUGGCUAGUUCUAGUGUAGAGAGAGGAGUAGUAAGACUGGGUAGUUCUAGUGUAGAGAGAGGAGGCUGGCUAGUUCUAGUGUAGAGAGAUGAGUAGUAAGGCUGGGUAGUUCUAGUGUAGAGAGAGGAGUAGUAAGACUGGGUAGUUCUAGUGUAGAGAGAGGAGGCUGGCUAGUUCUAGUGUAGAGAGAUGAGUAGUAAGGCUGGGUAGUUCUAGUGUACAGAGAGGAGGUAGGGUAGUUCUAGUAUAAAGAGAUGAGGAGAAAGGCUGGGUAGUUCUAGUGUAGAGAGAGGAGGCUGGGUAGUUGUAGUAUAGAGAGAGGAGAAAGGCUGGGUCGUUCUAGUGUAGAGAGAGGAGGUUGGCUGCAUAGUUCUAUUGUAGACAGAGGAGGCAGGCUGGGUUGUUCUAGAACAGAGAGAGGAGAAAGGCUGGGAAGUUCUAGUGUAGAGAGAAGAGGAGAAAGGCUGGGUAGUUCUAGCGUAGAGAGAGGAGGCUGGGUAGUUCUAGUAUAGAGAGAUGAGUAGUAAGACUGGGUAGUUCUAGUGUAGAGAGAGGAGAAAGGCUGGGUAGUUCUAGUGUAGAGAGAGGAGGUAGGCUGCAUAGUUCUAUUGUAGAGAGGAGAAAGGAUGGUAUAUGUUGUGGAGGCUGGGUAGUUGUAGUGUAGAGAGAGGAGGCUGUGGAGUUCUAGUGUAGAGAGAGGAGGCUGGGUAAUUCUAUUGUAAAGAGAUGAGUCUGGGUAGUUGUAGUAUAGAGAGAGGAGGAUGGAUAGUUCUAUUGUAAAGAGAAGGCUGGGUAGUUGUAGUAUAUAGAGAGGAGGCUGUGUAGUUCUAUUGUAAAGAGAAGCCUGGGAAGUUGUAGUAUAGAUAGAGGAGGAUGGGUAGUUCUAGUGUAGAGAGAGGAGGCUAGGUAGUUAUAUUGUAGAGGAGGCUGGGUAUUUGUGGUGUAGAGUGAGGAGGCUGGGUAUUGAUAGUGUAGAGGAGACUGUGUAGUUCUAGUGUAGGUAGAUGUCACGUCCUGACCAUAGUAAGCUGUUAUUUUCUAUGGUAGAGUAGGUCAGGGCGUGACAGGGGGGUUUUCUAGUUUAGUUUUUCUAUGUUGUUAUGUUCUAGUUUUGUAUUUCUAUGUUGGGUUGUUCUAGUUUUGUAUGUCUAUGUUGGACUGUGUUUGGGAUGAUCUCCAAUUAGAGGCAGCUGGUCAUCGUUGUCUCUAAUUGGAGGUCAUAUUUAAGUUGAUGUUUGUCCCACAUGGAUUUGUGGGAGAAUAAUUUUGAGUAGUGUAUGUUUCACCUCUUCGUCACGGUUUGUUCUAUUGACUAUUACAAUUAUUAGGUGUGUUGUUAUAAUUGUAUCACUUUUAUAGGUUGAUUAAAGAAACUGCCAUUAUCAGAGGUUGGUUUGUUAUUAUUUAUUGUUAUUUCUUACUAACACCUUUACAUUUUACAGUAAUAUACAUUUUGAAAUUGGUAUUAAGUGCAGAGCUACAGAUAAUUUAUUUUAUUCGGUUAACUGGUGGUAAUUCAAGUUUUUGCAAAAUACGUUAUUGUCACGCCCUGACCCUUGGUUCUCUAUGGUGUAGUAGGUCAGGGCGUGACUAGGGGGUGUUGUAGUUCAAUAUUUAUAUGUUGGUGUUUUGUAUGGUUCCCAAUUAG
rnacentral:lncRNA from 1 species